UGUUGAAACUGUUCUUGAACAGUUUCCUGAUAUAAGGAUUGCCCACAUGGCACUCAGCGUUGAAGAAAAAGCUCAGAUCGUAACCGACUACCAGCAAGCUGUU
rnacentral:ncRNA from 1 species